UUCAGGAACCGUAUCCAGUGAAGUUC
rnacentral:piRNA from 1 species